CGGGCUGUGGAUCAUUAAGCCUGGGAGUGCUUGGAGAUAAAGGAGGAAGCAGCCUGCAUAAAGGGGCAGAGAAUGGAGAGAAAAAUGUGGGUUAUGAAGAGUGAACAAUAUCUGUUAGAUUGACCGUUGUGACCUGGACUGUCAGAUUACCCCCUUUGUGUACUGGAUUGGCUGAGGACCUGAGUUUUAGGGUUACCCCUGAAGAAUGGAACGGACAACGAGAACAGAGCGUGCCAUUCACAGGCUGUAUCCAGGGAGCUCUGCAUGAGGGGAAGAUCAUCACUGUGACAGGGAGAGUCCUGCCAGGAUCCCAGAGGUUUCAUGUGAAUUUGCAAAGUGGCUCAAAAGAAGUACCUGACGUAGCCCUCCACUUCAACCCCCAAUAUGAUUCCAGACAACAUGUGGCCUGCAACACCAUGUAUAACUCUAAGUGGGGCCCAGAGGAGCGUAAAUAUUAAAUACCCAUGAGGAAUGAUUUACCCUCCUGUUCCUGGUCAACCGAGAUUCAUAUUCGGUCAGGAGACUUUUAUCACUUAUACUUAGGCUACACAUUUUUGUUUUACUGUGGACUUAUUGAAUUGUAUCAAUAUUCUAGAGCAAAAAAAGAUUCAAACCAUUCUUUUUUUCUCCAUGUGCCAUUGAUUUCUUGUCUCUCCUAAAUCCGGUCUCAUCCCAGGUGAUUGUGAAUGGUGCCCACUUCAUGGAGUACCUGCACCGGAUGUCAAUCACCCAAGUGGACACCAUCUUCGUGUAUGGGGGAGUGGAGAUCGAAUCCAUUGCCUUAUCCAACUCUGCAGUGAGGACUCCUGAAACAACCAGCAAACCAGGCUGUCGUAAUGUGAAUCAGUGGAUGUAAAGAAUCUAGCUAGCUAAAGCAUUUACUGCAAAUUGAAUGUACAAUUUUGGAAGCUUGCCUUGCUGAUAUUUGCCAUGCAAUACAGAAUAUGAAGUAACGUAGUUAUUAUGUUCUUGCUUAUUGCGCAGUGGAGGAUACAAAUACCCGUAUGGCUGUUUAGCUAGUUAUUUAGCUGAUCUGUGUAUGGACCCAAACAAUUGGUAUACAUAUCAGUUCAGAACCUAGCUAUGAACCUCAGCUGUCAUAGCCAGUUGUCAUUCAGACGGUUUUGAAGUUGAUAUUUUAAUGAAGCCUGUGGAUGAGUAGAAUAUAAUAUAAAUUUGUGCCAAGGAUGCAAGUCGUAUAUACAUGUAGUUAUUACCAUGCAUGAGAUCCAUCCCCACACUGUAGCCUGUACAUUUAAUAUAUUCACUGAUCCAUGUAUUCUACCUUGGUAAAUAAAGGUGCAGUU